AUUGAGAGUUCGUCAGUCUGUUGAUUUCGAAAUUGACACUUCCAUCGACCUCCAGAUUAGUACCCGGCUGACUUGCGAUGGAGGACGGGUGCAAGCGGACACCUCCGACUGCUACUUGACUUUCCACAAGCUGGCCCUUCACCUUCAUGGAGAAAAACAACCAGGCUGGCUUGAACAGCUGUUUACAGACUUCAUCUCUUUCACCAUGAAGCUGAUCCUGAAGGGGCAGGUGUGUAAAGAAAUCAGUGUUCUCGCCAACAUCAUGGCUGGUUUUGUCCAGGACAAAGCAGCCCUCUUCCUCACAGAUGGAGACAUUGGUGUGGAUAUUUCCCUGACUAGAGCCCCAGUAAUCAAAGACAACUACCUGGAGUCACAUCACAAGGUUGGAAUGGAGACGGGGAAGACAUGUAUAGGUGGGGC